rnacentral:lncRNA from 1 species
UAGUAGUGAAGGGUAAAAAGAAAUUACAACAACAAGAUCUUAACAACUCUAAUAGAAUUUUAAAUAAGUUUUAAUUAAACCUUAAUAAAUUUUAAUCAAGCUUUAAUCAAAUUCAAAAGAAAUAUUAAAGAGAUUAGAAAAGAAACAUAAAGAAAUUAUAAAUUAAUCUUAAAAAAAUACAUAUGUAAAAAAGUAAUCUUAAGAAUAUAACAAAAAUAUCUUUAAAUACUAAAAACAAAAAUUCAAGAACCUAAAUCUAAUCCUAAAUCCUAACCAAAUCCUAAUCCUAAGAAAAUCCUAAUCCAAACUAAAUCCUAAAUCAAACC